UUUUGGGAACUGGGGGCCUUCUUAUGAACUGGCAUUCCUGCGUUGAGAGGGACAGGUCACAAAUUCUGGUAUUUCUUCUCAACAGCCCCCCAGCAAGCAACCCCAAAUCCACCCAAGACAAGGUCUUGGCUCAGCCAACCUAUCCAUGGGAUGGGCUGGAAACGUUAAGGGGGGGCACCUGCUGAGACGUGAGGAGCCCCCAGGAGGUGUACCUGGGACAGAGAACAUCCAGCCAAGAACAAGCCAGGAGGACAGGGGAGGACGUCCCAGUCAGACCCCAGGAAGCCCUUCCUGUCCCAGAGCUGCCGGGCGGGUGAGGAGGGGUGGCUUGGUGGCCACUGUCUGAUGCAUACUGCAAGAACAAUAAGGAUUUUUAGGGGCAUUAUGACUGAGUCAGAAAACACAGCUGCCCCUGAAAGUCCCUCAUUUUUCUUGCUGUCCUUGAAUGCUCUCCAGCCUUCUGCCCUAAGACCACAGCCAUACCCUCCUCCAGCAAAACCCAAGCUGUCCCCCACACACGAGGACCGAAGCCAUCUGGACCAUUCGACGACACAAUGGCACCAUGCUUUGCCUGCUCAGAAGCCCCAGCCUCAGCCUUCUGCCCUAACCAAGAUCACAGCCAUACACUCCUCCGGCAAAAGCCAAGCUGUCCCCCACACAUGAGGACUGAAGCCAUCUGGACCAUUCGAUGGCAGGAUGGCACCAUGCUUGGCGCGCUCAGAAGUCCCAGCCUGAGGUGUACUCAUUCAGGCAGCAUCGACAACUGCUUUCACACGGAAAGAGAAGAGCAGAGUUGCCACAGGGAGCAACACUUUUUGGCUCCUCACAGGGCAACUUCGCCGACACCUGCUUCCGUUUUCUUGCAUUUGGAAUUUCACCUAAGGACCAGGAGCCUGCACCCAAGAACAGCCAGAAAGGACAAAAGCUGGGUUCUGGCUUCAUUCCCCAAAGACCGCCCCACAGCCACCAGGCACAAAAGCGAGCACCCAAGGAGGCAUACGACAAUACAAACUAAAUGAACUAGAUCACCAGAACGUUCUUCCUCAAAGAACAGCCACUAACAUUACUGCGGACAAAUGUCUAAAAGUAGUAUCUGAACCCUGCCUUCAUGGACCUGCUCCACUGUCAGAAGAACUGACAUAGACGAGAAAUGUUUCCAAUGCUAUUUACCUGAGAUAAGGAAAAUGAAACUGUUGUCUGGACACUGCGGCUGCCACAUGGGAAGGCACAUGAGGUGUUCUGUGGGGAACAGGUGAGGGGGUGAUAGCCAAAACGGAAAACACAUGAUUUUCUCCCUCUGUGGGUACUUGCUCCAAACCUCCCUGUGGUUAAAGUUCCAUCUGGAAAUGUACAAUAAUUUAUAUCAUCCCAAGUUCCUAACAGCUAAUUAGAAAAAUGUACUAAUUAGGUAAUCUGGUUUCAGAUGUCCUAAUUAUAUUACUUUGGAGAAGUAAAAAAAAAAAAA